UACGUAGGGUGCGAGCGUUAAUCGGAAUUACUGGGCGUAAAGCGUGCGCAGGCGGUUCGUUGUGUCGGUGGUGAAAGCCCCGGGCUUAACCUGGGAAUGGCCAUGGAAACUGGCGAACUGGAGUGUGGCAGAGGGGGGUGGAAUUCCGCGUGUAGCAGUGAAAUGCGUAGAGAUCCGGAAGAACACCGGUGGCGAAGGCGGCCUGCUGGGCUAUGGUUGACACUGAGGCGCGACAGCGUGGGGAGCAAACAGG
rnacentral:rRNA from 1 species